AGAUACAACACUCUCACUUGCCUCGCAUUCCUUGCCUAUUGUUUCUGUCUUUAUAUGGAAAAGACAGUGAGCUUUGGGAAGAGAAGAUGGUGGCUUGGGAGAGCGGCGGGACGGCAAUGCUAUGUUGGAAGGAUUAGGGUCGUGGCCUCCAUCACCUGAACCUUUUGUGUGGCUCGUGAUGUUCAUCCUCCUGCGCUAUUUCAUCGCGGCAGUCGAUCCGAUGGCCGCAACAGCAGUGGUGGGGAGGUCACCAUGGUGGAGCCGUCAAAAGGCAAGCCACCGAUCACUCCAGACUCUAUUGUCAACCUCGAUCAGUACUUGGUCUCCGAUUGAUGUACAUACGUGCUCGAGAUGAAGAGGAGGAGGAUGGAAAACGGAAGCAAAGCAAAGCAAAGAACGAAUGAAUUGAUCUAGGAGCUAGCUAGCAUGCAUGACAAACACAUGCUGUUGCUGUUUCGUUUCUCCGAGGAGGUAGCAAGCAAGAAGCAUCCAAGGAGCCAAGGAGGACUGCUAGCUGCUGCAAACGGCAUGCAUGCAUGCACACGAACUGCACACGGUUUGCCGUAUCGGAUCAUCGGAUGUGUACGUGCCCAAACUAAAGCUUCGAGGCAACAAACUGCCAAUUUUUUCCUCCCUGUUCUGUACUAUGUAUAUAUAUCUGCUCGUGCGUGCGUGCGUUUAUUUCCCGCGCGUACUUAAUUUCCAAAAAAAAUUUCGCGAACA